UCUAUAUCAUCCGGAAUUGGUUAUGCUUAGGUGUGUAUUAAAAGGGAAUCGUGUGCAAAUCACGAACUGUCGCGCAACUGUAAGUAACAAUCCAAAGGUUUUUGUCCUAGUAUGUCCACUGUUUUAAAUAAAAUGGGAAGGACGACAAAAGCUGUUACAAGUCAGGAGACCUGCCUAUUUCGAUAUGACGAU
rnacentral:ncRNA from 2 species